UACGGAGGAUGCAAGCGUUAUCCGGAUUUAUUGGGUUUAAAGGGUGCGCAGGUGGUUUAAUAAGUCAGUGGUGAAAGUCUGCCGCUUAACGGUAGGAUUGCCAUUGAUACUGUUGGACUUGAAUAUGGAUGAGGUAGGCGGAAUGCGUAGUGUAGCGGUGAAAUGCUUAGAUAUUACACAGAACACCGAUUGCGAAGGCAGCUUACUAAUCCAUGAUUGACGCUGAGGCACGAAAGCGUGGGGAUCAAACAGGAUUAGA
rnacentral:rRNA from 1 species